rnacentral:rRNA from 1 species
UACGCAGGGGGCAAGCGUUGUCCGGAUUUAUUGGGCGUAAAGAGCGUGUAGGCGGCCUGAAAGGUCAGCUGUGAAAACUCGAGGCUCAACCUCGAGACGUCGGUUGAAACCAUCUGGCUAGAGUCCGGAAGAGGAGUGUGGAAUUCCCGGUGUAGCGGUGAAAUGCGCAGAUAUCGGGAAGAACACCCGUGGCGAAGGCGGCACUCUGGGACGGUACUGACGCUGAGACGCGAAAGCGUGGGGAGCGAACAGG